rnacentral:rRNA from 1 species
UACGUAGGGUGCAAGCGUUGUCCGGAAUUAUUGGGCGUAAAGGGCUCGUAGGCGGUCCGUCACGUCGGGAGUGAAAUCCUGGGGCUUAACCCCAGAACUGCUUCCGAUACGGGCAGACUAGAGGUAGGUAGGGGAGAAUGGAAUUCCUGGUGUAGCGGUGGAAUGCGCAGAUAUCAGGAGGAACACCGGUGGCGAAGGCGGGUCUCUGGGCCGAUACUGACGCUGAGGAGCGAAAGCGUGGGGAGCGAACAGG